GCUUCUAUAGCGCAGAGGAUAGCGCGUCGGACUUCGAUUCCGAAGGUCGCGGGUUCGAUCCCCGCCAGAAGUG